GGCGAACGCUGGCGGCGUGCCUAACACAUGCAAGUCGAACGGAAAGGCCCUGCUUUUGUGGGCUGCUCGAGUGGCGAACGGGUGAGUAACACGUGAGUAACCUGCCCUUCACUUUGGGAUAACUUCAGGAAACUGGGGCUAAUCCCAGAUAGCAGCUCCUGCUGCGUUGAGGGGGUUGGAAAGUUUCGGCGGUCGGGGAUGGACUCGCGGCUUAUCAGCUUGCUGGUGGGGUAGUGGCUUACCAAGGCAUUGACGGGUAGGCAGCCCGAGAGGGUGACCGGCCACAUGGGGACUGAGGGACGGCCCAGAGUCGUACGGGAGGCAGCAGUGGGGAAUAUUGCACAAUGGGCGGAAGCCUGAUGCAGCAACGCCGCGUGCGUGAUGACGGCCUGCGGGGUGUAAACCGCUUUCGCCUGUGACGAAGCGUGAGUGACGGUAAUGGGUAAAGAAGCACCGGCUAACUACGUG
rnacentral:rRNA from 1 species